GAAUCUUCCGCAAUGGACGACAGUCUGAAGGAGCAACGCCGCGUCAGUGAAGAAAGCCUCCGGUUCUUAAAACUCUGUCGUUAGGGAAUAAUAAGUGACGGAGUCACCGCCGGCACCCUGACGGUACCUAACAAGAAAGCAACGACUAACUACGUGCCAACAGCCGCGGUAAUACGUAGGUGGCAAGCGUUGUCCGGAAUUAUUGGGCGUAAAGCGCGCGCAGGCGGUUUCUUAAGUCUGAUGUGAAAGCCCCCGGCUCAACCGGGGAGGGUCAUUGGAAACUGGGAAACUUGAGUGCAGAAGAGAAGAGCGGAAUUCCACGUGUAGCGGUGAAAUGCGUAGAGAUGUGGAGGAACACCAGUGGCGAAGGCGGCUCUUUGGUCUGUAACUGACGCUGAGGCGCGAAAGCGUGGGGAGCAAACA
rnacentral:rRNA from 1 species